GGAGAAUCACUGCUCUAGUAGGAUACAGUAGUGCCUACUACCCUCUUGUGGCCAAGGAAAGAUAAUGCACCUAAAAUAAUUUGGUUGAAACCGGAAGUUUCAGACGCCAUGGAAACACAUGACGCUGACCUGUGCUGCUAAAUUAAUAGCUAGCUAGCUAGCAUCAAACGAAGAGCGUCACCAUCAAACUGUUGAAAUUAAUGUCUCGGAAAGCAAUGAAAGUGGUAGUUGACUUACAGUUUAGAGCGGUAUCAUGCCCUGGUGUGCAUUUGUCAGCCAAGGAUGACAUCUACCUCAGUGUGUGCUUCAUGAGCCAAUACCGCAAGUCUGUGUGUCUCCCCCCUGUCUUCCCUCUCCUGUUUCGAGAGAAGAUGAGAUUUGAGAAAGUGGUUUCUGUUCACAUCCAGGUGUUCCACUAUGCUGUUGACCCAGGAGAUGUUGCAGAGAUGCUGGAAUAUGAAACUGUCAAAGUUGAAUUGGUACAGUUGAUCCCCCCAGUGGGGGAGGCCCUGGCCUGCUUUGAGGAAGAUGCCAGACGCUUUCUAUUUCCAGAGCCCAAAUUGGUUCCAUCCUUCUCUGGAGUGGACAGAGAGGUUCUCAUGACACGCUCCAUUAGCUUCCCUGGCAUUGCUCCAAGGUUAGAGUUCUCCACCAGAACAACCAUCAGUGAGUGCUCUGCGAACGCAGAGGUCAACAGCGCCCAUCUCAGGUCUCCAAUGAGGACAGUGGUGCCAAAGAAACGCACUAAAAGGUCCCGAAAGGGACACCGGAGAGGAGAUUGGGACGGUGCCUGGCGGGCACCAGUGAUGCCCAGAUCACGCUCCCUUUCCCCGUGCAAAGCCAGCCAGAUGGACGGUUGUCAUGGAAACAUGGGGCGGCUGGCACAGCUCAGUUUGGGUUCCAGCUGGGAUAUAGAUGAGGAGUUUUUACCCCGUCAUAAAAGCGACCCCUGGCUUGGGACUGGACACUCCCCUACACCCCACCUCUCCCCUGUCAUGGCCAGACCCACCCUGACCAACGACUCCUCUCCUCGUCUCCCACAGUCCCUGUCCUCUGACACAGACAAUCUCCUGGACUACCCACCAGGUCCAAGCCAACGGUGUUCCCUGGUUAACAUGGGGAGAUCCACCACCGCUACACCCAGCCAUUCCAUGCUUUGGCACUCCUACAGGGAAAGCUCGAGACAAAAUGGGUCACGCCCCAGCUCCCAGGGCAUGUGGGAGGAGGUCCAACACCGCGUCCGAGGACUCCUUACCACCCCUAGAGCAGUACACAGACUCGCCCAUGUGAGUAUCUAUGGACAGGUCAUGCCCCAGCUCCCAGGGCAUGUGGGAGGAGGUCCAACACCGCGUCCGAGGACUCCUUACCACCCCUAGAGCAGUACACAGACUCGCCCAUGGGGCCACAGACUCCGAGAUAGACGAGGUCCUAGCCCGGAGGUCCAUCUCCCCUAACCGAUGCCCACCCUAGGGAGUCAGUGGGGAACGGCCUGGGAAGGGGUGCCGUUCACUCAACAACUUGAAGCUUUAUCUUCUAUACAACCAGUGAAGAAGCCAAAGUGUCCGGUUCAUUUCGGCAUUGAUUUCAUACGAUAAUGAUGUCAUAAUUCACUCUGUGUGUGUGUUACGGUUAGCUGAAAUGAAGUAUUAAGGCAUACGGUAGCUAUUGAAGAGAAGUAAUUGACCAGAAUUCAAAGCAUCUCAUUAUAUUAACGCUAAUGUUAUUAGUCAUUUUGUAUGUUUAUUAAUGGUAUUCAAUUGAGGCAGAAACCAUAGAAAUGUAUGUCAUUAUAGUCAUGUUCUGUGGACAUGGUCAUUUUGUGUGAAUAAAUCGUUUUGUUUUAUCUAACAAA